UUGGAAUUAUUAUAGAGACUCAAGAGCUUUCGAGGAUACUUUUUAUGUACCCUUUGUUUCAAAAGGUAUCAACUUACCUCCUUCAGUGGAGGAAGUGGGAGCAAUACAUUUUGCUAUGAACCGGAUAGGAA